GUAAAUUCAGUAGCUCUGGAAACACAAAGUUUGAUAAUUCAUCGGUCAAUAUAGGAGUAUUUGAUGAUAUGGACUCCUUUGAUAAUCUUGGAAAAUCUGUACCUCCAGUUUCACAUGGAGUCAAUAGGAGAGGAAAAGACAGGAGCCCUCUAAGAACUGGACCAAGCAUGGGUGGCACUUUUUCAACUUCUAGUAAAGAGCCAGUUGACAAAUAUCCUGUGGAUGAAGCUGAAGGCCAGUCACAGAGGAAUAUGCCUAAUGAUGAUUUCCAGGAAUCACAUGAAACAUUGUUUGAUAUGCCUUCUGUUGGUCAAAAUGUCUCAUCUCCUUCAUAUGUGAAUGCCAGUACUAAUGAGGCAAAUUCACCUCCAAGAUCUGAAGAUAUUUCAGAAUCACCUGAUGAUG
rnacentral:misc_RNA from 1 species